UGUUGUCAAACGGUUUGGACGGCUGCUGUACCUCAGGAUGUUUUGUUGUGCCUUUUUUUAUCUUCAGUAACGCUGGGUCAGAUCUCUACUUCUUCUGGUCCAGUUUCAGGUGCAUUUCUUUUUCUUAAAUGUUGUAAGAGCUUAACAAGACAGAUGAGGUCGAUGUAAUGAUGAGCAAAAUUUUCAUGUAUUCUUUUGAAAAAGCCCGUAGGAGGAGAGGAUUUCAAUGGUUUAAGGAAUAAUUGAAUUAGGAAUUUUGCAUUUAUUUACUCUUUCUAAAAGUGAUCAACAGUUUUGCAUAAAUACUGGGAAGGAAACAGAUUGCGUAGCUCUGUUUUAAAGUUUAGAGUCUGUUUAAAUGUGCAUACCAACCCCUCAAAAGCGUAUAUAUACACACGUGCAUAAGAGAGAACUCAAUUUUCAUUUCCUACUCUUAGAAAGAAUUUGAAUAAGCACAUUUCCUGAAAUGUUCAACUGUUUCAACUUGCAGAAUUGAGUGUUCUGCUUGCCAAAUAUAAGCCAAAUUCAUCUUUUUUAGUACAACAGAAA